rnacentral:rRNA from 1 species
AGAGUUUGAUCCUGGCUCAGGACGAACGCUGGCGGUGUGCUUCACACAUGCAAGUCGAACGGGGUAGCAAUACCCAGUGGCGGACGGGUGAGUAACGCGUAGGAAUCUGCCUUUAGGUGGGGGAUAGCAGACCGAAAGGUCUAUUAAUACCGCAUAUGUGUACAAUUCGACAGUUUUGUACAUAAAAGGAGUAAUUUGCC